rnacentral:rRNA from 1 species
UACGGAGGGAGCUAGCGUUGUUCGGAAUUACUGGGCGUAAAGCGCACGUAGGCGGCUUUGUAAGUUAGAGGUGAAAGCCCGGGGCUCAACUCCGGAAUUGCCUUUAAGACUGCAUCGCUAGAAUUGUGGAGAGGUAAGUGGAAUUCCGAGUGUAGAGGUGAAAUUCGUAGAUAUUCGGAAGAAACACCAGUGGCGAAGGCGACUUACUGGACACAUAUUGACGCUGAGGU